GAGACAGUCAACAACACAAAAGCAUGAGAUGCUCUGCAGCAACAGUUCUCCAGGGCUGAGAUCAAGUCGUGAGUAUAUCAUCUUUCUGUCUCCUCUCUAAUCCAACGCCCGUCAUUCGCACUGACAGAAGUGAACCUUCAGAAUCCAAGAGUCAUUCGCCAGAAAUGUUACAAGAGCAAAGUGUGCGUUUUAUUAUCCCCCAGAAGGUGCAUGCGGGUGCUGGGGAUAAAACCACGCAGCAGAGCCCCUGCUUGGUGUGCACAAGUCCCCGGGCUCAGGCUCCAGGGAAGAAAUGGGGUGUGGGGACAGAAUUUUCUGUUUCUCUGUCUAACAGUAAUUCUGCCUGUCUGCCCCAAGUGAAUGAAGGUAGGAGUCUCUCACUCUGAAAACAAACAAGAACCUUUCCAGAGAGUUUGAUCAUCUUUUAAGAUUCGGUCCACACCAUCAUCCGCCCAUUUUCAGGAGAAGAAAAGUAAAUAAAGGAGGGAUACUUCAGUAAGUGCCUCGCUCAGCUCUGAGGGAGACUGGCGCUCUGCUCAUUUUCCUCUGCUCAGGUUCCGCCCCACCCACUGAUGAGCUGGGAAGCCUCCUGUCUCAGUUAGGUUCUCCUGGAAGCCAUGAACACGCUGGUGUCUUUGCACGUUCUUUCUCUCCUCCCUGACUCCGUCUAAGCAGAUUGAAAACUUAGUUUCUGAGGUGAGUGUGAGGGAUUGCACUGGAUGGAGCGCCGGGCAGCCAGCUGCUCCCUGGGGAGCAGCAACAGCAACUCCACCUUCUAUGUACAUAGUGACAUGACUCCAUCUCAAGUUCUCAUCUGUGAGCUAUCCCAGACUCUGUUUUUAAGUAGGGUGUGUAUAUGUGUGUGUGUGUGUGUGGGGUACAUAUAUACAUGUAUACACACCCACAUAUGCAUGUAUGUAUAUAUACACACAUAUAUGUAUGUAUAUGUGCAUAUAUGUAUACAUAUACACAUAUAUAUAAUUUUAAAAAAUAAAACCAUUUGUAUUCUGAUCAUAGUGUAGGAAGUAGGUCUUUGAUGGAACAGGCUCUGAUUUCUCUUACCUGAUCACUGCAUUUAAGUGAGAGAGAGGAAACAGAAUCCCAUUCACAAUACAAAUAAUAGAGAAAAGCAGAAAUCAAUAUGUUUCCUAAUCCAAACCAGAAAGCUGUUGUAGCUCUGCACCAUUUCCAAAGACUGUUAGCCCACAGGCAGACACCUGCUCUGGAAUGAAAAUCUGUGCAGCCUGAGGCUGCUUCUGCUAAACCCCCUCUGUCCUGAAGGCUCAAACGUCAGGAGUAAAGUGGGCCGACAGUGACUGACUAAUUGGAAUACUUUGAUCUGGUCACAUGUUAAUUUAAGAAUAAAAAUAUAGCUUUAAGCCAGGCGUGGUGGUGCGCACGCCUUUAAUCCCAGCACUCAGGAGGCAGAGGCAGGAGGAUUUCUGAGUUCAAGGCCAGCCUGGUCUACAAAGUGAGUUCCAGGACAGCCAGGGCUAUACAGAGAAACCCUGUCUCGAAAAAACAAAACAAAACAAAACAAAAAUAGCUUCAAUCAGUUCCUCUCCAAUACUGAGGAGUUACGACAAUGGCUACUUGGCCAACAUUUAGAGUUGGUAAUUAUGUUUUAUAAACACUAGGAACUUCUCAAGGUAACCCUAAAUGCAUAACUGAUGAUAUGCAUCCGUUUGCAAAUGAUAUGCAUUAUUUGAAAAGAACCCCAGGGACAACCCACUCUCCCAUUCUUCCACAAGACAUUAUUUACCAGCAAACUUCAAAGAAUCCCACAGAGAUUUUCAAUUAUAUUUAUUAUUAGCUCUGCAAUCAGCAAGCUGAUUAUGUAAAGCAAAGGCAGUUAACUUGGAUGGCUCAGGGACCAGCAUCAGGUUUCAAAGUGACACGUGGCUCUUGCAGAAGAUCACAGACAUUGGGAAGAUAGCCAUCCCUCUUUUGUUUUGUUUUGGGUUAUUUCGACUCUAUCAAUGGAUUCUCCUGUUCCAGACACUGCUGUCUUUACCCGAAGGUUAAAAAACUUUUUUUUCAAACAAAAAUAUUUUAGGUGUUUUUAUUUUAAUAACACUUCAAGAGGUGGCUGAAGAGAUGACUCAGAGCAAUUAAUGCUCCUGCAGAGGUCUCAGUUUGUUUCCCAGCAACCAAAUGUCAACUCAGAACCUUCUGUGCCUUCAACUCCAGGGGGUCUGACACUGUCAUCUUGCUUUCUCACACUGGGCGUGGUGCUCAUACAAGCAUGCAGACAAACACUCAUAUACAUAAAAUAAAAAUCGUUUAAGACAAAA
rnacentral:lncRNA from 1 species